rnacentral:rRNA from 1 species
GACGAACGCUGGCGGCGUGCUUAACACAUGCAAGUCGAACGGAAAGGCCCCUUCGGGGGUACUCGAGUGGCGAACGGGUGAGUAACACGUGAGUAACCUGCCCUUGACUUCGGGAUAACUUCAGGAAACUGGGGCUAAUACCGGAUAGGAAUCCUUGCUGCAUGGUGGGGUUGGAAAGCUUCGGCGGUUUUGGAUGGACUCGCGGCUUAUCAGCUUGUUGGUGGGGUAGUGGCUUACCAAGGCUUUGACGGGUAGCCGGCCUGAGAGGGCGACCGGCCACAUUGGGACUGAGAUACGGCCCAGACUCCUACGGGAGGCAGCAGUGGGGAAUAUUGCACAAUGGGCGGAAGCCUGAUGCAGCAACGCCGCGUGCGGGAUGACGGCCUUCGGGUUGUAAACCGCUUUCAGCAGGGGCGAAGCUUGUGGUGACGGUACCUGCAGAAGAAGCACCGGCUAACUACGUG